rnacentral:rRNA from 1 species
AUUGAACGCUGGCGGCAGGCCUAACACAUGCAAGUCGAGCGGUAGAGCGAAGCUUGCUUCUCUUGAGAGCGGCGGACGGGUGAGUAAUGCCUAGGAAUCUGCCUGGUAGUGGGGGAUAACGUUCGGAAACGGACGCUAAUACCGCAUAAGUCCUACGGGCGAAAGCAGGGGACCUUCGGGCCUUGCGAUCUCAGAUGAGCCUAGGUCGGAUUAGCUAGUUGGUGGGGUAAUGGCUCACCAAGGCGACGAUCCGUAACUGGUCUGAGAGGAUGAUCAGUCACACUGGAACUGAGACACGGUCCAGACUCCUACGGGAGGCAGCAGUGGGGAAUAUUGGACAAUGGGCGAAAGCCUGAUCCAGCCAUGCCGCGUGUGUGAAGAAGGUCUUCGGAUUGUAAAGCACUUUAAGUUGGGAGGAAGGGCAGUAAAUUAAUACUUUGCUGUUUUGACGUUACCGACAGAAUAAGCACCGGCUAACUCUGUG